CUCCAUUUGAUCCUAGAAGCACAGAAAAGCACCCUCAGCUUUUCACAUGUGACAAAGGCCACUGCCAGUGGGCACGCUGUGUUUCUGCUCAGUGCAGCUGUGAACUGAACUCAGCUGUUUUCUGCCUGGGAAGCUCACGCGAUCCAGUAACACGGGGCAAUGUGUGUUUCCAGUUUCUGAAUGCUAUGCGGAAGGGCUGUGCCUCGGCAGGGCAGCACCUGCUGCCAGGUACACCUCCAGCAGGAGGGCAGGAGCAGGGCCCUGUGGCAGCCGUCAGUGAGGGAAGGUCUCUGGGCUUCUUGCUGCAGCGAGCUGGAGGCUCUGGAAAGGAAGCAGGCCCUGAGGAGGAGGAUUUGGUUAUGGAGCUGUGGAGAGACAUCUCAACUGAUAUUAAGACUUGGUCUGCUUCAGGGGCUGGAGACUCGUCGUCUUAGCAGUCCAGAUGGAAGGCACGUCUUGAAGAAUUUGCCAUGAGUAAAGAUGAUGUGUAAGAAUCUUGACACUGUUUAACAUCAAGUAAG
rnacentral:lncRNA from 1 species